rnacentral:rRNA from 1 species
GACGAACGCUGGCGGCGUGCCUAAUACAUGCAAGUCGAGCGAAGUUUUUCUGGUGCUUGCACUAGAAAAACUUAGCGGCGAACGGGUGAGUAACACGUAAGAACCUGCCUCAUAGACUGGGACAACUAUUGGAAACGAUAGCUAAUACCGGAUAACAGUAUUUCUCGCAUGAGAGAUAUUUAAAAGUUGGUUAUGCUAACACUAUGAGAUGGCUUUGCGGUGCAUUAGCUAGUUGGUGGGGUAAAGGCCCACCAAGGCGACGAUGCAUAGCCGACCUGAGAGGGUGAUCGGCCACACUGGGACUGAGACACGGCCCAGACUCCUACGGGAGGCAGCAGUAGGGAAUCUUCCGCAAUGGGCGAAAGCCUGACGGAGCAACGCCGCGUGAGUGAAGAAGGAUUUCGGUUCGUAAAGCUCUGUUGUUAGGGAAGAAUGGAUAUGUAGUAACUAUACAUGUAAGAGACGGUACCUAACCAGAAAGCCACGGCUAACUACGUG